GAUGAACGCUGGCGGCGUGCCUAAUACAUGCAAGUCGAGCGAACAGACGAGGAGCUUGCUCCUCUGACGUUAGCGACGGACGGGUGAGUAACACGUGGAUAACCUACCUCUAAGACUUGGAUAACUUCGGGAAACCGGAGCUAAUACCGGAUAAUAUAUUGAACCGCAUGGUUCAAUAGUGAAAGACGGGUUUUCUGUCACUUAUAGAUGGAUCCGCGCGGCAUUAGCUUGUUGGUAAGGUAACGGCUUACCAAGGCAACGAUGCGUAGCCGACCUGAGAGGGUGAUAGGCCACAUGGGAACGGAGCCAGCGUCAAGAGUACUGCGGGAGGCAGCAGAAGGGAACGGGACGCAAUGGUCGAAAGCCUUACGGAGCAACCGCGAGCGUGUGAUGACGACCUCGGGAGAGGAAAACCCUGUUAUGAGUGAAAAACAAAUGUGAAAGUAAAUAAGCACGUCGUGACGGUACCUAAUCAGAAAGCCCCGGCUAACUACGUG
rnacentral:rRNA from 1 species